UACGAAGGGGGGCUAGCGUUGCUCGGAAUCACUGGGCGUAAAGGGUGCGUAGGCGGGUCUUUAAGUCAGGGGUGAAAUCCUGGAGCUCAACUCCAGAACUGCCUUUGAUACUGAAGAUCUUGAGUUCGGGAGAGGUGAGUGGAACUGCGAGUGUAGAGGUGAAAUUCGUAGAUAUUCGCAAGAACACCAGUGGCGAAGGCGGACUCACUGGCCCGAUACUGACG
rnacentral:rRNA from 1 species